GCUCGCAUGGCUCAGGGGUAGAGCGCAUGACUCGUAAUCUGAGGUUAUCAUGAGGUCCGUGGUUCGAAUCCGCGUGUGAGCA
rnacentral:tRNA from 1 species